rnacentral:lncRNA from 1 species
AAAGUGUGAAUAAUAUUUACUUGGUUGACUUGAUUUUCGUGUUGGGGUCAUGGAUCGUUCUAAGUUCUUGGGUUGGGUUCAGGUUAGCUAGGCAGCCUCCCUCAUUCUUGCUCACUCAUGGUAGAGGCUAGCUGACGUACUUAUAUUUUUAGGUGGGCUAUGGCUUGAGUAUUAGUGUUUAAGUGCUAGCCUAUGGUUUGCAUAAAAUUACUCAAUGUAGCGUUAGUAUCAGCAUUGGAUUUUGUCAA